UAAUAUCGUCGCUACUAUUUAAUAUUCUUGUAGUACCUCUUGCAUAUAUUAUGUAAUCUAUAUCUGUUUCUUGUUAUGAUAUAACAUCUUACUUGGCAUUUUUUUGGGUUAAAAAAUAAAAAAGACAAACAUUCUAAAUAUUACUUCGCUAUAUCCAUCUCCCUUGAUCAGGUCACAUGGACUUGAUGAAUUGCACUAAUUUCCUCAAACCAUGGUAGGCAUUCCUGCCCAAGUUAUAUUUUAGUCUAAUCUGUAGAGAAAUUUCCCCUCA
rnacentral:lncRNA from 1 species